AUUGAACGCUGGCGGAAUGCUUUACACAUGCAAGUCGAACGGAACUUAAGGGCUUGCUCUUAAGUUUAGUGGCGAACGGGUGAGUAAUAUAUCGGAACGUAUCCAAUAAUGGGGGAUAACUAAUCGAAAGGUUGGCUAAUACCGCAUACGCCCUACGGGGGAAAGCAGGGGAUCUUCGGACCUUGCGUUAAAUGGAGCGGCUGAUAUCUGAUUAGCUAGUUGGUGAGGUAAAGGCUCACCAAGGCGACGAUCAGUAGCUGGUCUGAGAGGACGACCAGCCACACUGGAACUGAGACACGGUCCAGACUCCUACGGGAGGCAGCAGUGGGGAAUUUUGGACAAUGGGCGAAAGCCUGAUCCAGCCAUUCCGCGUGAGUGAAGAGGC
rnacentral:rRNA from 1 species